rfam:Dipodomys ordii contig_6562, whole genome shotgun sequence.
GGGAAGGUGGCUCAGUGGUAGAGCACUUGCCUUGCAUGCAUGAGGCCCUGGGUUCAAUUCCUCCGCACCA